rnacentral:sRNA from 1 species
UCCGUGCUGAGAGUAGCUUGCAAGGG